UACGUAGGGAGCAAGCGUUGUCCGGAAUCAUUGGGCGUAAAGCGCGCGUAGGUGGCCUCAUAAGUCCGCUGUGAAAGUCAAAGGCUCAACCUUUGAAAGCCGGUGGAUACUGUGGGGCUAGAGUACGGAAGAGGCGAGUGGGAAUUCCUGGUGUAGCGGUGGAAUGCGCAGAUAUCAGGAGGAACACCAAUAGCGAAGGCAGCUCGCUGGGACGUUACUGACACUGAGGCGCGAAAGCGUGGGGAGCGAACAGG
rnacentral:rRNA from 1 species